UACGUAGGGGGCAAGCGUUGUCCGGAAUCAUUGGGCGUAAAGAGCGCGUAGGCGGUCCGGUAAGUCCGCUCUGAAAGUCCGGGGCUCAACCCCGGGAGGCGGGCGGAUACUGUCGGGCUAGAGUCCGGAAGAGGCGAGUGGAAUUCCUGGUGUAGCGGUGAAAUGCGCAGAUAUCAGGAGGAACACCAAUGGCGAAGGCAGCUCGCUGGGACGGUACUGACGCUGAGGCGCGAAAGCGUGGGGAGCAAGCAGG
rnacentral:rRNA from 1 species